rnacentral:lncRNA from 1 species
AUGAAGUUUUUUUCUCACAAGCUUGUGACUGUCUGUACCUGUGAAAAAUGGACUCCAAACGCCAAUACGCAGGGGAGCGAGGAUCAAGCCUGGUCACAGCUGUGUAGGAAUGGUCUGAACUGGAAGACUAAACCAUGUGAGCUCCAAGUGAUCAAUGGAGAGAUUUCCUGGCUCCUCAGCACGAGGUACAAGGGUUCUUGGACUGCAAUAUUUCUCAAAACUCAGCAGGGAGCAAGUCCUCUCCUCACCCACAAAAAGCAUCACCUCACCGUGCCGGGGAUAAAACCCUCCUGGAGUGCCGAACGCCAGAGCUUCCACUGCAGGUGCUUUGUCCACCGUCUGCCACCCCCAGCAUGUCGCCGAGACGAAGUCCCUGCAGGUUUCCAGGUUUCAGCAAGGACGGUAAGCACAGAGAGGCCCCAACUGAUGUGUCCGUCCCUUCUCUUCUCCAAGGAUGACCUACUCAAAGCUGCACACAGAUUUAGAAAAUUUAUUUUAAUUUCUAUUCACGCUCUCUAGCCCUUUCUGAAAUUAUUAAUUUCUGCUUUUUUAAGGUUCUGGGCUUUAUUAUCCACUCAGUAAGACAGGACUAACAGUCUUUGGCCUGUGUAUUCAGACUGUGAACUCUUCCAUCUCGAGACUGUUCCUAGUUGGUCUGGCUGGGAAUUGGUGGUCUAAUUUUCAGAUGGGACCUACGCACACGCAGUUUUACAACGAGCAGUAAGGAAAGUCCCCACACGUCCCUCCUGACUCGGAUAGGCAGGACUGUUCACGCCACCCAGACAAAUGCAGGAAGCAGCUGCCACAGCCAACAUACCUUUCAAGAGCUGACAAAUCUUUCCUAGCAUGAAGGGGAUUGGAAAUCUAAACAUUGACUUUUGUUGCACGCCCAAACUAUUUAGCUCUCAGCAUGGGUCAAGCAAUAUGUUUCCUUUAGAUACUAUGAUGUUUUAUUUUCUUUUUGACUCGUUAAACUUUAUUUGAACUUGCAUUAUAUAAAUUAAAUAAAUUCAAUUAAAAUUCAAAUACA